GUUGACCUUUAUAUUGAAAUCUGAAAAAACUGCUGACAGGCCGUUGUGGUGUCACGAGGAGUGUCUGCAGUUCUGUUAAACGUUCACAUUGUGUCACAGGUUUGUGGCACAGCAGCACGACUGGCUGACCUACACACUGUAAUGCUGAUCAAUAACACACAGGAGGGUUUUACUGGAGGACAAACCAAACCCAACUGGAACAUUUUGAGGAACUGGUUUGUAAUCUUCCUUCAAUUCAUCUAAAUCCAGAACUAAAACAAUUGACGGGGUUUAGUUGAACCUGCUUGAGAAAACAAGUGGUAGAAUUAUGAUGCCCCCGCAGCUGGAAGGUGACCAGGCCGUUGCCGAUCUCUAUAAGGUGCACCAGCGCGUUCAGGUAGUCGGAGGCCAGGAUGAAACAGUCCCCGGUGCUGAAGUUCCCCCAGCGGCCCAGCAGGAGGUCUCCACACAGGCUGUGCUGCAGGGAGCGGGUCAGGUGCUCAUAGAAGAUGGAGUUCAGAUUGUUGUCGUCGGAACCUGAAGGAGGAAAGAAAAAAAGGACAAAACGAUUACAUCAGGGUUUAAAGCUUUGUCAUAUUAAAGUCAAUUCAUACGAGAGAACAAUGGUGUAAAUAAAGAGUAAAUAAACUCAAAUAUCACGUCCUCACCUGGAUUUCUGUCCAGCUGAGAAGCCAGACGAGUGUUGGAGUGAUCCACUCUUUUUGUGCUGUUAAAAAAUAAAUCACAAAUUUACGAAACCUGACACUUUUCUUGAUUUGAAACAUGGAAAAGUAUUUUUAUUUUAGUUUGCCUACUUGUAAUCUCUCUCCCAGAACUUGACAGGGCGGACAUAGGAGGUGAUGAAGAUGGCGCUGCCGAGGAACGGGUUGAGGGGAGUGGAGAAGAUGGCCGACACCACAGCCUGGACAAACAGCAUGGCAGAGUCUGGAGGGGCUCCAGUCAAGGAUCACCAGUAAUAUGCUCUGCUUUAAUAAACUCUAAUAUCAGCGGA